ACUCCUACGGGAGGCAGCAGUGGGGAAUAUUGGACAAUGGGCGAAAGACCUGAUCCAGCCAUGCCGCGUGUGUGAAGAAGGUCUUCGGAUUGUAAAGCACUUUAAGUUGGGUAGGAAGGGCGAGUUACCUAAUACGUAAUUGUUUUGUACGUUACCGACAGAAUAAGCACCGGCUAACUCUGUGCCAGCAGCCGCGGUAAUACAGAGGGGUGCAAGCGUUAAUCGGAAUUACUGGGCGUAAAGCGCGCGUAGGUGGUUUGUUAAGUUGGAUGUGAAAUCCCCGGGGCUCAACCUGGGAACUGCAUUCAAAACUGACUGACUAGAGUAUGGUAGAGGGUGGUGGAAUUUCCUGUGUAGCGGUGAAAUGCGUAGAUAUAGGAAGGAACACCAGUGGCGAAGGCGACCACCUGGACUAAUACUGACACUGAGGUGCGAAAGCGUGGGGAGCAAACAGG
rnacentral:rRNA from 1 species